GACGAACGCUGGCGGCGUGCUUAACACACGCAAGUCGAGCGGUAAGGCCCUUUCGGGGGUACACGAGCGGCGAACGGGUGAGUAACACGUGGGUGACCUGCCCUCAGCUCUGGGAUAAGCCUGGGAAACCGGGUCUAAUACUGGAUAUGACUCCAUGACGCAUGUUGUGGGGUGGAAAGCCUUGUGCAGCUGAGGAUGGGCCCGCGGCCUAUCAGCUUGUUGGUGGGGUGAUGGCCUACCAAGGCGACGACGGGUAGCCGGCCUGAGAGGGCGACCGGCCACACUGGGACUGAGACACGGCCCAGACUCCUACGGGAGGCAGCAGUGGGGAAUCUUGCGCAAUGGGCGAAAGCCUGACGCAGCGACGCCGCGUGAGGG
rnacentral:rRNA from 1 species